CCCACUUCAAAACCGAAACCCCCAAUCCCCUUGCCGGCGAGCUCGUCGGCGAUGCGGCCGCCGGCGCCUAAGCUCCGUGCUGCCUCAUCUUCGUCCUUCUACAGCCAGCGUGAGCCUCGCCAAGAGAACCCGUUCCUCCUCCUCCCUUCCUGCCACGGGGCCAAGCUACCUCUCAGCUGCCCCCUUCUCGAUCGCAUGCUCUCCGGCAGCCUCCCCGCCGCCUCCACCACCAAGGCCGGCGGAUCCGCCUCCGGCAAGAUUAAUGUUUGGGGCGCCUCAUCCACGUCACCCACUGCAGCCCCGUGCCUCCCUUCCGUCCGGGCUCGCAGAGGUGCCGUGUCUCCAGUCCGCACUUCCCGCAUCGUCUCCACGAGUCCCGUUUGCGCGGCCGGCGUCUAACAAGCUGCUCAUCUGCCUGCAACAUGGAGCGCCCCUCCCCAACCCAAUGCCACUCGAGCAGCAAGCCACUGCUGGCUCUUCGGAAGGACACACACAGCAAGCCAGAGUCGCGUCCGUACUCCCUCCAGGCGGCCACCUUCGUAUGCCUCCAGCCCCUGAAAGAAAAAUCAUUCUGCUAAUGCGAGUUCCUAUCCCAUCUGACUCGCAGCCUUGGUGAUGGUCUUGCUUGGAUCUGUGUCAAGAAUAUUGGUGGUUCAGGGUGGGUGCUGCAGUGGAGGCAUUCUCUGCCUUUUGUGGUCAGUUGCCUAAUGUCCCUGGGCUUCGAGGAUGUGCUGCCUCGGGAAAUUCUUCAUCUACGUUCCGUUCUGUAACCUCUGCGUGCGGCCUGCGUGCUUGUGGUACAAGUGCUGUUGCGGAGCCAGAUUUCCUUUGCUAUUGUGGGGAACCUGCUCGCAAGCUUACUGCCGGUACGGAAAGGAAUCGAGGUCGUAAAUUUUUUGUUUGCCGGAAAUCUGAGUUUGGCAAGGGAUGCAGGCUUUGAAUUUGGGAAGAUGUUCUUAUGCGGUUCGUCUAUUCCAUGGUCGACCAUUGGUCGCCGGUGGUUCCAGGUUCCAUAGCCGACGAAUUGGUUGUUGCUCAUGCUGAAUUGGCCCAGAUGGAUGCUAAGUUCUCUAUUUUGCGUAGUGAAUUCUAGGUUAGAGAGACGGAGUUGGUUGCUAAAGUUCAGGAAUUAGAGUUACAACUUGCGAAUUCGAGGAAAGCUGCGGGCCAUGCUCGGGAACGAGGUUUCAGUUUUUGGAAGUUCGUGCACUUCUUUAUUUACGUGUAACAGUAAAUAAAGAUACCUUGGACUAAUGUGAGGCUGCCUUCGCUACUAUAUGUGCUAUUCAUAGAAUGCU